rnacentral:lncRNA from 1 species
AAAAACUAACAAUAAUUUUAAAGAGACACAAACCUCGCCAAGAAAAAGAAAAACAAACCAAAAACAAAAGGACCAAGAAAAAAAAAUGUGAACCAAACAAUAGACUAAAAAAUUGGGACUAAUAAAGUUGGAAUAAAAUUUCACCAAGUGAAUAGUGAGAAUAAACUCCAAGAGAACGAGAGAUGAGUAAGUAGAUAAGCUAUUUGGAACCUUAAAUUGCAUAGAACGUAGUAAGCAAAUACACUAUUUGAUACAUAAUUUUCAAAAAAUGAGAUUACGCGGAACAAAUAGGCAAAGCCACCAUAUAUGAAUCAUAUUCUAUAAUCAAAACUUAUUUUAACAUUUCUCAUGAGCAAUAUUGUCUACAAGUAUAAUUAUGUAUGCCUCCAACUCUUAUUGAAAAUAAUAAAAUAAGGAAUACAUCAAAAAU